UCGGACGGUCUAUUUUAACGAUAAGUCCGCGGUCUCACUGACCACAAAGCAAUAUAUUUUCCGCAUGCAACUACAAUUUUAUUAACGAAAGGCCAAUUAUUAUUACAUUGGUGAUUCGAUCCGGGUAGCCUCUAACAAAUUGCUGAACAUUUGGUACAAAAGAAAACACCCAAUUGUGUCACAGCACAGUUCCGGACCGAGAAGAGAAGCACAGCACCUUCCUUCGCCUUGAGGUUGCGAGCUGUCAAUUUGUUGUCGGCAAGUGAGAAAGUCGUGAAAAAUAUCACUGCAACACGAGUGGGUGCCGAAAAAGUCCUUGCAAAGGACAACAGGGAGACGACCGACCGGUACAAAGAGGCAGCUGACUGGAACGGUAAGGGUUAAAGGCAGACGAGUUCACCCCUGCAGUGGGCAGUGGGCAUCAGUGCGUCCGAAAUAUGAGUGCUGCUAAAAAGUAUAAGCCUAUGGAUACCACAGAGCUGCACGAGAACACCGAGAAUAUUGCUGCUUGCCUGAAAAAGGCUGAAAGUGCCGCCGCCUUAUUGAUGGGCCGCAGUGCCUUUGCUGCCCAAAACAUGAACUCAUCGUCCACAAACGGCGAACGCCUGCCAAAUUUCUCCAAGCUUGGUUCGAACCAUGGCGAGAUUCGAUCGGCAUCAACUACCUCAAACUUACUUAAUCGCACGGGGGCCAUCCACAACAGCAAGCCUGGCGAUGUCAAAAAGAUAGUGAUUAAGAACUUCAAAGAUAAACCCACACUGCCCGAUAACUAUUCCGAGGACACGUAUGUGAAGCUCGAGGAGGCCGUUAUCGCCAUACAACUAUCGAAGCCCAUUAAAUAUUCACUAGAGGAGCUCUACCAGGCCGUUGUGAAUAUGUGCAGUCAUAAAAUGGACGCCCAGCUGUAUACGAAGCUCAAGGAGCUGACCGAACAACAUGUGAAGCGCAAUAUCAAGCUGAAGGAGCUCACUGGGGGCAGCAUGGACAAGCUGGUGCUGCUGGAGAAAAUCAACAACUGGUGGCUCUCGUUCUGCCAGCAGAUGAUCAUGAUACGCAGCAUCUUCUUGUACAUGGAUCGCACCUAUGUUUUACAAAACUCAUUUAUCCACUCAAUAUGGGACAUGGGGCUGGACCUCUUUCGCAUACACUUUGCUCAGAAUAGCGUCGUCCAGAAGCGUACGGUCGAUGGUCUCUUGACGCUGAUUGAAAAAGAACGACAGGGCGCGUCUGUGGACCGCGGUCUGCUCAAGAGUUUGGUACGGAUGCUGUGCGAUCUUCAGAUCUACUCCAGUUCGUUCGAGGAGAAGUUCCUCGACGCCACCAAUCAACUGUACAAGGCUGAGAGUCAACGUAUGAUGCAGGACCUGGAGGUGCCCGGCUACCUGCAGCACGUUAGCAUGCGUCUGGCCGAGGAACAUGAGCGCUUGCUGCACUAUUUGGACUCGAGCACAAAGCAUCCGCUUAUAUACAAUGUAGAGAAGGAGCUGCUGGCCGAACACCUAACGGCCAUACUGCAAAAGGGUCUGGACUCGUUGCUGGAGGACAACAGAUGGGUCGAACUAACAAUGCUAUACGGUCUGCUUAGCCGUGUCAAAAACGGCACAUCAGAGCUGUGCGGAAACUUUAACGGAUACAUUAAGAAAAAGGGACGCACCAUUGUCAUUGACCCGGAAAAGGAUAAGAGCAUGGUGCAGGAUCUGCUUGAAUUUAAAGAUAAAAUGGAUUACAUUGUCCGCAAUUGCUUUGCACGCAAUGAAAAGUUCACGAAUUCGUUGCGCGAGGCCUUUGAGUUCUUUAUCAAUCAGCGAGCCAAUAAACCAGCAGAACUUAUUGCAAAAUACGUGGACAUGAAGCUACGGUCUGGCAACAAGGGCACCACGGAUGAAGAGCUUGAGAAGACAUUGGACAAGAUCAUGGUCCUGUUUCGCUUUAUACACGGCAAGGAUGUCUUUGAGGCUUUUUACAAGAAGGAUCUGGCAAAGCGAUUGCUUGUGGGCAAGUCGGCUUCCGUGGACUCGGAAAAGAGUAUGCUGUCAAAACUGAAACAAGAAUGUGGCGGAGGCUUCACGUCGAAGCUGGAGGGCAUGUUCAAGGACAUGGAACUGAGCCGCGACAUCAAUACAGCGUUCCGCGGUCACGCUCUCAGCAACAAUCGCGAUGUCCAUAACCUGGAUCUGUGCGUCAGUAUACUGACAAUGGGCUACUGGCCAACAUAUGCGCCCACGGAGGUCACAAUGCCGCCACAGCUCAUCAAUCCACAGCAGAUAUUCAACAAGUUUUAUUUGGAAAAGCAUAGCGGACGAAAGCUACAAUGGCAGCCCACGCUGGGCAACUGCAUGCUGCGUGCGCAGUUUGAGGCGGGUCCAAAAGAGCUUUUGGUUUCGCUGUUUCAGGCUCUGGUGCUGCUCUUGUUCAACGAUAAUCCGGUGCUUAGCUACGAGGAGAUAUUGGCCGCAACCAUGAUCGAGGAUGGAGAGUUGCGCCGAACACUCCAGUCGCUGGCCUGUGGACGCGCCCGAGUCAUAACGAAAACACCAAAAGGUCGCGAGAUCGAGGAUGGCGACCAGUUUGAUUUUAAUAACGAGUUCACAAACAAAUUGUUUAGAAUCAAAAUCAAUCAGAUACAGAUGAAAGAGACGAAUGAGGAACAAAAGGCGACCGAGGAGCGUGUGUUCCAGGACCGUCAAUACCAGAUAGAUGCGGCCAUUGUGCGCAUCAUGAAGAUGCGUAAAACUUUAAGCCACAAUCUACUCAUCACCGAGCUGUUCAAUCAGCUAACCUUCCCCGUCAAGCCCGCUGAUUUAAAGAAACGCAUUGAGUCGCUCAUCGAUCGAGACUACAUGGAGCGCGACAAGGAUAAUCAGAACCAGUAUAACUACGUGGCAUAACUUUUCUGGGAACGGCGAACAGAGAACACUGAUUUGAUUGUAACAUCCAUAUUUCUAUUUACCAUAUGCAUACAUACUAAAAGUCCAUUGAAUAUUUGGUGUGGUGUGUUUCUUUGCCUGUCCGGCGUUGAUUAGAGCGCCAGCCAGCCGCAUAACUAUAAUAAUGAUAUGUAGCCUCUAUGUAGUGCAGUUCCGUUGCUACAGAUUCUUUUUAGUAUGCAGGUCACGUCACCGUAUCCCCACCCGACUGUGAAAGAACCAUACAUACA